GGAGGCCCCGCCCCUGGCCCCGGCGCUGGGUGCCUUCGGACCCGGGAGCCGAGCCCCCACCUGCCCCCGCCCCAGAGGCGGCGGUGCGCGCCUCCGCCGCGGCGGCGAUCCCGGCUUGCUGCCUUCCUUUGAGCACAAUGCGUGUUCCACAGGGGUAAGCCCGUGAGGCUCCAGCCAGCUGAGAGGUGCUAGACUGGUUUCCCUUGAGAUUCCAGGGCUUUCCAUGAGAUCUGGCAGUGAAAGCAGGACUGAGGGUGAGGAGGGAAGAAACCUGACGCGCAGAGGACCACAGAAUUUGCCAGGGCCUGUCAGCUGAACAGCGGUAAUACUGGGACCGGUAGCAACAGCCAUCUGGUUCCACUGGUGGACAAUUCCGGUCUUGCCGUGCUGCCCUCUCCAAGUCCUGGCAGUCCAGCCCGAUUUUUCCUUCUUCUCAAAGUGAGAGGAAACCAUGUGAACAAACAGGGAAGGAAACUCUGGCUAGCCUCCGUCAGCAUCCAACAAAACAGAAGGGGCCAGGCCUCUCUUUACAAGACCUGUUGGUGGAGGGAGGGCGCAGGGGGCCGGGGGGUUGAUAAGCAGGUAGGUACAAAGUGGUCUGUACCAGAGAAGUAAAAAAAUGGCAUAAGGACAUGCAUGCGAUUCAGUUACAGUGGGAGAUGGCGCACCCCUGGGAUUCGAGAAGUUCCUUGUUCCCAUGAUUCAGGCUAGAUGCGCCUCUAGUUCUCCCUCUAUAAGGCCUGGCUGGGGACACCCACCUCACAGGAUUGAGCAUAGAGAAAGCAUUCCCGUUCCCCCUUGAUCUUCCUCUCUUUACUUAACGUAUCCCUAACACACAAACAGGCGGAAGAACAUAAGGAUCAGAAGCAAAGGCAACGGUGUGACGAGAUUGGCAGUUCUGUGGCGUGGGAUGGCAAUGGAAGGGUUAAUUCAGUCUUUCUGCCAAAUAAUCCGUGUCCCCAAGUGUUUUGCUGCGCUCACACAAAAUAAAUGCAUUAUUCCGUAGUUACUGGCAUAUCACGUGAAUCUUUUCAUGCCAGCAACAUGGUCUUAAAGAUGGCUUCAUCUUGCCUAAUGAAAAGAAUCAAAAAAUACUUCAAAAGACCCACUUAGAGCCACAUAAAAUACCCGUUCUCUCAUGCAGGGUUCCACCAGUGAUUGUUAAGUAUGUUAUCUCCUCGGUAAAGCCACGGUAAGCUCAUGCAUUUUAAUAAACAAUUCUCGCUCGAACUUCCACAAUGCAUUCUGCAAUGCAAUGUCAUUGGUGUGUACACAGCGUUCUGCUUCUAGUUACUUAUCGGUCCAUUUCAUGACACUUCUAACUGCAGGGCUCGGGUUCCCAGAUACAGAUCAGACCUUGAAGAAGAGUGAUUCCCUUUAA